AAUAGAUACCCAGGUAGUCCACGCUGUAAACGUUGGACACUAGGUGUGGCGGUCUGAUCAACGACUGCCGUGCCGAAGCUAACGCAUUAAGUGUCCCGCCUGGGGAGUACGGCCGCAAGGCUAAAACUCAAAGGAAUUGACGGGUCCCCGCACAAGCGGCGGAGCAUGCGGCUUAAUUCGAUGCAACCCGAAGAACCUUACCUGGGUUUGACAUCAUGGGAAAAGCCGUGGAAACACGGUGUCCGAAAGGGCCCAUGACAGGUGGUGCAUGGCUGUCGUCAGCUCGUGUCGUGAGAUGUUGGGUUAAGUCCCGCAACGAGCGCAACCCUUGUCCUAUGUUGCCAGCGGUUCGGCCGGGGACUCAUAGGAGACUGCCGGGGAUAACUCGGAGGAAGGUGAGGACGAUGUCAAGUCAUCAUGCCCCUUAUAUCCAGGGCUGCACGCAUGCUACAAUGGUCGGUACAACGGGCAGCGAUCCUGCGAAGGUGAGCGAAUCCCACAAAGCCGGCUCAGUUCGGAUUGG
rnacentral:rRNA from 1 species